rnacentral:rRNA from 1 species
UUCCGGUUGAUCCUGCCGGAGGUUACUGCUAUCGAGGUUCGACUAAGCCAUGCGAGUCGAAUGUAGCAAUACAUGGCGAACUGCUCAGUAACACGUGGACAACCUGCCCUUAGGUUGGGUAUAAACCCGGGAAACUGGGUAUAAUACCCGAUAGGUCUCGAUUGCUGGAAUGCAUCGAGAUUUAAAGCUCCGGCGCCUAAGGAUGGGUCUGCGGCCUAUCAGGUAGUAGUGGGUGUAGCGUACCUACUAGCCUACGACGGGUACGGGUUGUGAGAGCAAGAGCCCGGAGAUGGAUUCUGAGACACGAAUCCAGGCCCUACGGGGUGCAGCAGGCGCGAAAACUUUACAAUGCUGGUAACAGCGAUAAGGGAACCUCGAGUGCCAGGUUACAAAUCUGGCUGUCGAGAUGCCUAAAAAGCAUUUCAUAGCAAGGGCCGGGCAAGACCGGUGCCAGCCGCCGCGGUAACACCGGCGGCUCGAGUGGUAACCGUUAUUAUUGGGUCUAAAGGGUCUGUAGCCGGCCGGAUAAGUCUCUUGAGAAAUCUGGCAGCUUAACUGUCAGGCUUUCAGGAGAUACUGUCUGGCUCGAGGCCGGGAGAGGUGAGAGGUACUUCAGGGGUAGGGGUGAAAUCUUGUAAUCCUUGAAGGACCACCAGUGGCGAAGGCGUCUCACCAGAACGGACCUGACGGCAAGGGACGAAAGCUAGGGGCACGAACCGGAUUAGAUACCCGGGUAGUCCUAGCCGUAAACGAUACUCGCUAGGUGUCGGCCACGGUGCGACCGUUGUCGGUGCCGUAGGGAAGCCGUGAAGCGAGCCACCUGGGAAGUACGGCCGCAAGGCUGAAACUUAAAGGAAUUGGCGGGGGAGCACCACAACGGGUGGAGCUUGCGGUUUAAUU